rnacentral:rRNA from 1 species
GCACAACGCGAAGAACCUUACCAACCCUUGACAUGGCGAUCGCGGCCUCAGAGAUGAGGCUUUCAGUUCGGCUGGAUCGCACACAGGUGCCGCAUGGCUGUCGUCAGCUCGUGUCGUGAGAUGUUCGGUUAAGUCCGGCAACGAGCGCAACCCACAUUCCCAGUUGCCAUCAUUCAGUUGGGCACUCUGGAAAAACUGCCGAUGAUAAGUCGGAGGAAGGUGUGGAUGACGUCAAGUCCUCAUGGCCCUUACGGGUUGGGCUACACACGUGCUACAAUGGCAGUGACAAUGGGUUAAUACCCAAAAAGCUGUCUCAGUUCGGAUUGGGGUCUGCAACUCGACCCCAUGAAGUCGGAAUCGCUAGUAAUCGCGUAACAGCAUGACGCGGUGAAUACGUUCCCGGGUCUUGUACACACCG